GACGAACGCUGGCGGCGUGCCUAAUACAUGCAAGUCGAGCGAAGUUUUUCUGGUGCUUGCACCGGAAAAACUUAGCGGCGAACGGGUGAGUAACACGUAAAGAACCUGCCUCAUAGACUGGGACAACUAUUGGAAACGAUAGCUAAUACCGGAUAACAGCAUUAACUGCAUGGUUGAUGUUUAAAAGUUGGUUUUGCUAACACUAUGAGAUGGCUUUGCGGUGCAUUAGCUAGUUGGUGGGGUAAAGGCCUACCAAGGCGACGAUGCAUAGCCGACCUGAGAGGGUGAUCGGCCACACUGGGACUGAGACACGGCCCAGACUCCUACGGGAGGCAGCAGUAGGGAAUCUUCCGCAAUGGGCGAAAGCCUGACGGAGCAACGCCGCGUGAGUGAAGAAGGAUUUCGGUUCGUAAAGCUCUGUUGUUAGGGAAGAAUGAUUGUGUAGUAACUAUACACAGAGAGAC
rnacentral:rRNA from 1 species